AGCUGGGACUACAGGCCCCAGAUGAAUCUUUGUACAACAAAGUUGAGAAUCAUAGCCCUGGCGUUUCAGAAGACAAGAAAUGGUUUCUUUGGAUCAAUUCUUUGCUCUUUGAAACAAGAUGAUCCAUCUCACACUGAAAGUUUCCUAUCAUGAAGUUCAGUGUCAUCUAGUCAAUGGAUGAAGUAUAAGAGUUCACAAUGGGAUUUCUACAACACAAAAAAAAGAGGCUGGAAAAAGAAGAUAAACUGAAUAUUGAAACUGCUCCUUUUCUAUUAAAAAAUAGCAAAAAAUGUUUUCCCUGUAA